CCACGUGCCGGCGGUGAUGUUGGCUGUCCUCAUUUCUCCUCCUGUGCCUCGGUCUGCCCUAUCAAUGCACUGCGAGUAGCCUAAGGCCUCAGAAUGGCUAGCGUGUAAAAAGGCUGGAGCAUGCGUGGUAGAAAGACAAGGUUUUCCUUUAUCACUCCCGGAGCCCCUGUGCAGAUGCGGUCAGAACCCUCCAGCGGGAUGACACCGGCCAGCCUUUGUGUGGCGCCUGUCAACCAGCCGGUGCUGACUGCUCUGUCUGUCAUGCUCUGUGACAUAGAUCUCAGGCUCCCGGGGGUGGCACGGCUUGCCUUCAGCCACAGACCCAACAAAUAGCAUCAGAUCCCAGCUCUCCACGACUCUGAAGCCCACGCCUUGAGUCUGCGCUGGUGGCCCUCUGGCGGGAGAAUGGCUGCCACCCAGAAGCUGACCUCGGAACAAAAACGUGGGUUCCAGUGCAGGCUUCCCAGCUGACAAGACUCUGUGAGCCUCACCUGUAAAUUGGGGUUAGCUACUGUCUGAACCAUAGGGAGGUCGUGGGAAUAAAAGGACAUCGCUGUAGACGCAGCUGCAGACACGGGCAGAUCUCACGGAGACCAGGCACACUGGAGAUCUCAAUAAAUGAUGACUCCAACUUUCUAGUUUCCAUUUUACGGAAGUACGUGAAGAAUUUUUGCAGGAGAGAGCUGUCAUCCCCCUGGACAUUGGGGAGCAGCGCAGAAAGACAGGGACCCAAAUCCCAACCCCACCACCGACCAGCUGCUCUGUCUCAAGGGAGGGUCGUCUCGGAUUCCUCAUCCCUGAAGUGCCAACCUCCCAGCGUCGCGCUGCAUAGCUACUGAGAUCAACAGAGAAACUACAAGAACAAGCAACACAGCAACAGCACCCACAUGGACUGCAAUUCAGGGCCAGCUGACACUGUCCCCUCUGCCAGGAAGUCCCACCUCAACCCCACCCAGACCUGGAAACGUCUCCCUUAGCCUUCAGAGCCCACCAUCACCAGCAUCCCUCCUCCAGAGACUCCUCUCCAAGACCCACUCAGUAGUCAUGGCUGCCCAGUGACAGUGAAAGCUGAUGGAGUCUGCAGCACUUACCGCAGGUCAGAAAACAGGGAUGAGGAGUCGUGGAGAAACUUGUUGGAGACCACACACUGGAGAGUGAUCCCAAGGAAGACUGAACCCAGAAUCCACUGGCCUGAGUGCCUUCUCUUCUCUUGCUAUCUUUGUGUUUAACCACCUACCCACUAAACACUGCACUCCCCCAAGUGCAGGCAGCAGGGCUCAUUAUUAUAAGCAUUAUAGUAUUUUAGGUAUUAUUAUCAAAUCCUAAUAGUUGCUCAUUCCAUUAAUAGGAAGAAUAACCCAAUAUAUUAAUGGAGAAUUCUCACCGGGGCUUGAGCUGCUCUUACACUGUCUGCCCAAAACUCGACAGCCAGUGAGAAGUGCCUCACCCCCCUUUACAGAUAAAUCACUGGGUUCAUCCAUGAGUUCUCUGUGAGUUUCAAGCCCAAGGUCCACCAUGGCCCAGCACCCAGCAUCUUCCCGACCCAAACUCGAGACCCAAGGAUCUGUGGAGUUGAAUUGAAUGUCUCAUCCACAGCCUCUACCCUUGAGUUCUAAGAUCACAACUUGCUUAUUCAACGAAGAGUAUCACUCACUAGUAGCUAAAAGCUAUGAGGCUGUACUGUGUGUCAGAUGGGGUGCUGGGAACGCCAAAGGUAUUGGUUCUCUUAUCACCUAAACCCUACUAGGUGGGGCCUGCUGUUUGCACUGUAUCAGACAUCUCCCACUCAGAGAGGCUGCAUGACAUGCCCAAGGCCACAGAGCCAGCCAGGAGCGGGACCAGGGUCAGGGCCCAGGCUGGUGGCCUGUUGGUUAUAGAGGCCCCAGAAACAGGGGUGUGGGCCAGGUAGGCAGCAAGGAGGGAGUGGCCCAGAGGUUGUCCCGCCAGCAUCCCUGCAUGACCAGAUUGUCUCCAAAGGCAAAUGAGAAAAGGGGCCGUCCAGUUGCUCCCAAUGACAUUCUCUCAGCCCCUUCCGGGCCCCUGCCCAGGCCCCUGUGCAUUCCUAGUGACGUCACCCAGCUGUGCUCGCUCAUCUCCCGGAGGAAGCCCUGUCACCUCCGGCAGCAGGGGCGGCGGCAGCGGGUGCCGAGGGAUGCCAGGGAGACAGGCCGCCUCCCGGCGCCUAAAGGAAUGCACCCGGCCCCCAGGGGCAAGUGUGGGGAGGGUCCCCACAGGGUCACUUCCCAGUGAUCAGAAGGUGGACGCGGA